AAUAUUGGACAAUGGGCGCAAGCCUGAUCCAGCCAUGCCGCGUGAGUGAUGAAGGCCUNAGGGUUNUNAAGCUCUUUCAGUAGGGNAGAUAAUGACGGUACCUACAGAAGAAGCCCCGGCUAACUUCGUGCCAGCAGCCGCGGUAAUACGAAGGGGGCUAGCGUUGUUCGGAUUUACUGGGCGUAAAGCGCACGUAGGCGGAUCGUUAAGUAAGAGGUGAAAUCCCGGAGCUCAACUCCGGAACUGCCUUUAAUACUGGCGAUCUCGAGUCCGGAAGAGUUAAGUGGAACUCCUAGUGUAGAGGUGGAAUUCGUAGAUAUUAGGAAGAACACCAGUGGCGAAGGCGGCUUACUGGUCCGGAACUGACGCUGAGGUGCGAAAGCGUGGGGAGCAAAC
rnacentral:rRNA from 1 species